UACGAAGGGGGCUAGCGUUGCUCGGAAUCACUGGGCGUAAAGCGCACGUAGGCGGAUCGUUAAGUCAGGGGUGAAAUCCUGGAGCUCAACUCCAGAACUGCCCUUGAUACUGGCGACCUUGAGUUCGGGAGAGGUGAGUGGAACUGCGAGUGUAGAGGUGAAAUUCGUAGAUAUUCGCAAGAACACCAGUGGCGAAGGCGGCUCACUGGCCCGAUACUGACGCUGAUGCACGAAAGCGUGGGGAGCAAACAGG
rnacentral:rRNA from 1 species